CGGUUGAUCCUGCCGGACCCCACUGCUAUCGGGAUGGGAUUAAGACAUGCUAGUCGUGCGCCUCCAAGCCACAGUGGGGGCGCGGCGCACAGCUCAGUAACACGUGGCUAACCUACCCUUGGGACGGAAACAACCCCGGGAAACUGGGGCUAAUUUCCGAUAGGUGAAGACUCCUGGAAUGGGUCUUCGCCCAAAAGGCGUUUAGACCAUGCUUCUAAGCGCCGCCCAAGGAUGGGGCCGCGGCCGAUCAGGUUGUUGGUGAGGUAACGGCUCACCAAGCCUAUAACCGGUACGGGCCGUGGGAGCGGUAGCCCGGAGAUGGACACUGAGACAAGGGUCCAUGCCCUACGGGGCGCAGCAGUCGCGAAACCUCCGCAAUACACGCAAGUGUGACGGGGCCAUCCCGAGUGCCAUCCGCUGAGGAUGGCUUUUCCCCAGUGUAGACAGCUGGGGGAAUAAGGAGAGGGCAAGUCGGGUGUCAGCCGCCGCGGUAAUACCCGCUCUCCGAGUGGUGGGGACGCUUAUUGGGCCUAAAGCAUCCGUAGCCGGCUGGGUAAGUCCCCUGUCAAAUCCAGCGAUUCAAUCGCUGGACUGCGGGGGAUACUGUCCAGCUAGGGGGCGGGAGAGGCCGACGGUAUUCCCGGGGUAGGGGUGAAAUCUUAUAAUCCCGGGAGGACCACCAGUGGCGAAGGCUGUCGGCUGGAACGCGCCCGACGGUGAGGGAUGAAAGCUGGGGGAGCGAACCGGA
rnacentral:rRNA from 1 species